GAGCAAGCCUGUAACAAGUUCCUCCGUGGGCUCUGCAUUGGUUCCUGCCUCUAGGAACCUCCUGCCCUGACUUCUCUGGAUGAUGGACUACAAGUUCAGUAGCCGCCGCCGCUGCAGCAGCAGCAGUCGGAGCAGCCUCAGCAGCCGCAGCAGUGACACCAGCACCAGCAGUGACACCAGCAGUGACACCAGCACCAGCACUAGCACCAGCACCAGCACCAGCCACAGCAACAACAGCAGCAGCAACAGCAGCAGAAAACCUAGUAACAAAGGCAGCAGCAGCCUCUCGAGCAGCAGCAGCAACAGCAGCAGCAAACCUAGUGACACAGACAGCAACAGCAGCAGCAUCUCUUGCAGCAGCAACAGCCCUAGUAACACAGACAGCAGCAGCCUCUCUAGCAGCAGCAGCAACAGCAGCAGACCUAGUAACACAGGCAGCAGCAGCCUCUCUAGCAGCAGCAGCAACAGCAGCAGACCUAGUAACACAGGCAGCAGUAGCAGCAGCAGCAGCAACAGCAGCAACAUCAGCAACAGCAGCAUCAGACCUAGUAACAGGGGCAGCAUCAGCAACUAUGACAACAGCAGCAACAGCAGCAGUCCCCAACCCUCUAGUGGCAACAUCAGCAACAGAAGACCUAGUAACACAGGCAGCAGCAGCAACCAGGUUAACAGCGGCCCCAGACCUGGUAACACAGUCAACAUCAGCAACUAUAGCAACAGUGGCCCCAGACCCAGUAACACCACCACCAGCAGCAACAGCCAAAGCAACAGCAGCCCCAGACCUAGUAACAGGGGCAGCAUCAGCAACUACAGCAACAGCAGCCUCAGACCUAGUAACAGGGGCAACAUCAGCAACUAUGACAACAGCAGCACCAGACCUAGUAACAGGGCCAACAUCAGCAACUAUGGCAACAGCAGCAAUAGCAGCAGUCCCCAACCCUCUAGCAGCAAAAUCAGCAACAGAAGACCUAGUAACACAGGCAGCAGCAGCAACCAGGUUAACAGCGGCCCCAGACCUGGAAACACAGUCAACAUCAGCAACUAUAGCAACAGUGGCCCCAGACCCAGUAACACCACCAGCAGCAGCAACAGCCAAAGCAACAGCAGCCCCAGAUCUAGUAACACAGACAGCAGCAGCAGCCCUGGCAACAGCCACACCAGUAGCAGCAGCAGCAGCAGCAGCAGCAGCAGCAGCAGCAGUAGCAGCAGCCGCGGCAACAGUGGCCCCAGACCCAGUAAAACAGGCAGCAUAAGCAGCCAAAGCAACAGCGGCCCCAGAUCUAGUAACACAGACAGCAGCAGCAGCAGCAGCCCCGGCAAUAUCAAAACCAGCAGCAGCAGCAGCAGCAGUAACAGCAGCAGCAGCAGCCACAGCAGCUACAGCUGCAGCAGCAGCAGCCACAGCAGCAGCAGCAGCCGCAGCCAUAGCAGCAGCCACAGUCACAGCAGCCACAGUCGCACACCAUGGGAAUGAUUUCCUAAGGGUAUACUGCUGAGUUCCUUCAGUCUUUCAGGCCACAUGUACUUCGUAAAAGAUUCCUGUCUGAGCAUCUUCCCCAGUGGCCUGUGAGGAUGAGCUCAUCCUUUGAACUUGGCAGGCGAGAAGCGUUCCGAUUUGGUUCAGCACAAGCACAGAAAGGUGAUUGUUAAGUAGAAAUUAUCCAGUCAGCAAUCAGACAGAGUCAGUCCUUUCUUCCCCAGAAGAUGCUGGCCAACUUCUGGAGAAGUUUCUGCUGGUGGGUUUGCCUAGGCCCAUAUUUCCUGGCUUUCAACAGAGGCUCUGAGAUUUGGUUAGCUUUGAGAGCUUCUAUGGAGGAAAGGGGGGCCCAAGAGACAUAGACUAAUGCAAAAACAGAAAUGUAGGAUGAAGGAAACCAAAUCAGACCAGUUACUAGAGUUCAAGGAAUGGAGAAGCAAGGUUUAGAGGGGAAGGAGUUGGCCGGCAGCUGGGAUGAGGGUGUGCCUGUCCUGCUGUUAUUAGGUGGGUGUGGGGACCAAGCAAAUGACAAUUAAAGCCGUGGGCCAGUUCUACACAGGAACUAGAACAAGAAAGCAAACAGCUGGGCAGUUAUGGGGCUGGAUGCUCAGGGAAAGGGGCCUAGGGUUUAAGCCAAACCAAACCCCAAACAAACACCCAUUGAAUUGGAUCGAUAUCAAAGCUUUUCCUGUACAUUUUUUUAUUAUUGUUUGUUUAUUUCAAUAAAGAUUUCUUUAUUUUUA
rnacentral:lncRNA from 1 species